rnacentral:lncRNA from 10 species
CUCAGCCCCUGAAGGCCCCCAUUAGCUGCCCACCUCCUGCUUGAAACACGCCGCAGAACAUCUGGAAGCCCUAGGAGGCCGUUUCUUUGACAACCUUCGAUUUAAAAGCUCAUGGAAAUUCUUGCUCCAACUGCUGUGACGUGAGCAGCCCAGCUCAGGAUCCAACAUAUCAGAGGAGGACUCCAGGAAGUCAUUCUACCACCUCUGCCUCCCUGCUGACGAAUCCGAUAUUUGGUUGAACAUUCCUACUUCAAAAUUCCAAAAUCUGAAGCAGUCCAAAAUCUGAAACUUUUGGGGCACUGACAUGAAGCCACAAAUAGAAAAUUCCACAUCCCAUCUUUCCUAGCC